rnacentral:rRNA from 1 species
UACGUAGGGUGCAAGCGUUAAUCGGAAUUACUGGGCGUAAAGCGUGCGCAGGCGGUUGUGCAAGACAGAUGUGAAAUCCCCGGGCUCAACCUGGGAACUGCAUUUGUGACUGCACGGCUAGAGUGUGUCAGAGGGGGGGUAGAAUUCCACGUGUAGCAGUGAAAUGCGUAGAUAUGUGGAGGAAUACCGAUGGCGAAGGCAGCCCCCUGGGACUGACACUGACGCUCAUGCACGAAAGCGUGGGGAGCAAACAGG